UACGUAGGGUGCAAGCGUUGUCCGGAAUUAUUGGGCGUAAAGAGCUCGUAGGCGGUGUGUCGCGUCGGCCGUGAAAACCUGCGGCUUAACUGUGGGCUUGCGGUCGAUACGGGCAUCACUGGAGUUCGGCAGGGGAGACUGGAAUUCCUGGUGUAGCGGUGAAAUGCGCAGAUAUCAGGAGGAACACCGGUGGCGAAGGCGGGUCUCUGGGCCGAUACUGACGCUGAGGAGCGAAAGCGUGGGGAGCGAACAGG
rnacentral:rRNA from 1 species